rnacentral:rRNA from 1 species
UACAGAGGGUGCAAGCGUUGUUCGGAAUUCUUGGGCGUAAAGGGAGUGUAGGCGGCUUGUUAAGUCUUCUGUGAAAUCUACGGGCUCAGCCUGUAACGUGCAGAGGAAACUGGCGAGCUUGAGUGUCGGAGAGGAUAGGGGAAUACCCGGUGUAGAGGUGAAAUUCGUAGAGAUCGGGUGGAACACCAGUGGCGAAGGCGCCUAUCUGGCUGACAACUGACGCUGAGACUCGAAAGCAUGGGGAGCAAACAGG